GUGAAAUUGGUCAAGAAUGGAUAAGAGUGGGAUGGGGAUUACGAUGAGAUGCUCAAUCUUAGUGACCAUGAUGAGGUUCAACCUGAUGAUGUUCAAGAGGAGAUCGACCUAGAUGAUUAUGAUGAGAUGCUCGAGUUCUUAGGUCCCAAACGACUAGAGAUGUUGAUGACAUGCCAAGUGACGACAUUGAAGAGCAUGAAGACCAUGAGUUGGAUCAAGAAACGAAGGGGAAGAAGGAAA